rnacentral:lncRNA from 1 species
GAGUGCUGGGAUUACAGGCGUCAGCCACCGUGACCGGCUCAGACUGUACUCUUAUAGCCAUCUGAAAUACGUUUUCUAGGUAGAGAUAGAUUGUGUAAGGGUACAGUUGUGAGGAUAACAGAAACAUGGCAGAUUAUUUAAAAUCAUCCUGAAAGUGGUGCUUUAUCUGAUGAAAGUGAUUGUAAUCCAUAGGAAAAUGUUUCAACGUGCGCAAGAGUUGCGGCGGCGGGCAGAGGACUACCACAAAUGCAAAAUCCCCCCUUCUGCAAGAAAGGCUCUUUGCAACUGGGUAAGUUUGCUUGUUUUCCUUGCUUUUGGACAUAGUCUGCCAGGUCAGGACAUGGAUACAUUUUUCUCCCUACAGCUCUGUGCUCAAGCCCUGCAGAGGGAGAUGGCAGAGAGAAAGGCUGCCUACAAGCAUCACAGUCCCAUCCCUGUUGGUAACCGUGUUGCGCAAAAACACCUUCAUCCCCACCCAGUGGGGCCCCUGAUCUAAUAUUCUAAGUGUCAGAGGUUCCGUAUUUGUAAUAGCAGAUGGGCCCUGACUG